rnacentral:rRNA from 1 species
AACGAACGCUGGCGGCAUGCCUAACACAUGCAAGUCGAACGAGACCUUCGGGCCUAGUGGCGCACGUGUGCGUCACGCGUGGGAACCUGCCCUUAGGUUCGGAAUAACUCCCCGAAAGGGGUGCUAAUACCGGAUAAUGUCUUCGGACCAAAGAUUUAUCGCCUUUGGAUGGGCCCGCGUUGGAUUAGCUAGUUGGUAGGGUAAAAGCCUACCAAGGCGACGAUCCAUAGCUGGUCGGAGAGGAUGCUCAGCCACACUGGGACUGAGACACGGCCCAGACUCCUGCGGGAGGCAGCAGUGGGGAAUAUUAGACAAUGGGAGAAAGCCUGAUCCAGCAAUGCCGCGUGAAUGAUGAAGGCCUUAGGGUUGUAAAGCUCUUUUACCCGGGAUGAUAAUGACAGUACCGGGAGAAUAAGCUCGGGCUAACUCCGUG